rnacentral:ncRNA from 1 species
GGAAAUGCAAUGAAAGGAAAUAGUAACAUUGAGACUAUUUACAGAGAGUCGAUGGUAGGUGCAAAUCGAUAUUAGUGCAGUGUGAAUCCAUCCUUGAGUAGAUUAUUGAACGAAGUGCUUGUACUUUUAUUAGGUAAUUCCGGUUCACCACCGUUACUAAGGUGCUAAGAGAAAGAGCAACUAUUGAUGCUCUUUAAUUAGGGUGGCAACGCGGGUAAACUCUCGUCCCUUUA